rnacentral:rRNA from 1 species
UACGAGGGGAGCAAGCGUUGUUCGGAUUUACUGGGCGUAAAGGGCGCGUAGGCGGCUCCAAAAGUCAGGGGUGAAAUCCGGCAGCUUAACUGUCGCAGUGCCUUUGAUACUGUGGAGCUAGAGGGAGGUAGGGGUCUGUGGAACUUCCGGUGGAGCGGUGAAAUGCGUUGAUAUCGGAAGGAACGCCGGUGGCGAAAGCGACGGACUGGAGCUCUUCUGACGCUGAGGCGCGAAAGCCAGGGGAGCAAACGGG